rnacentral:rRNA from 1 species
GAUGAACGCUGGCGGCGUGCCUAAUACAUGCAAGUCGAGCGAGCAGACGAGGAGCUUGCUCCUUCGACGUUAGCGGCGGACGGGUGAGUAACACGUAGGUAACCUACCUAUAAGACUGGGAUAACUUCGGGAAACCGGAGCUAAUACCGGAUAAUAUUUCGAACCGCAUGGUUCGAUAGUGAAAGAUGGCUUUGCUAUCACUUAUAGAUGGACCUGCGCCGUAUUAGCUAGUUGGUAAGGUAACGGCUUACCAAGGCAACGAUACGUAGCCGACCUGAGAGGGUGAUCGGCUACACUGGAACUGAGACACGGUCCAGACUCCUACGGGAGGCAGCAGUAGGGAAUCUUCCGCAAUGGGCGAAAGCCUGACGGAGCAACGCCGCGUGAGUGAUGAAGGUCUUCGGAUCGUAAAACUCUGUUAUUAGGGAAGAACAAACGUGUAAGUAACUGUGCACGUCUUGACGGUACCUAAUCAGAAAGCCACGGCUAACUACGUG